GCUAAUUGGAAUGAGAUGUCAGCCAACUGGAGUCCAAUCAAUGAGAUGAGAUUGGAGGUGUUGGUUACAGCUGCCCUGCCCUAUAAAAAAAACACACCAGUUCUGGGUUUGCUUUUCACAAGAAGCAUUGCCUGAUGUGAAUGAUGCCUCGCACAAAAGAGCUCUCAGAAGACCUACGAUUAAGAAUUGUUGACUUGCAUAAAGCUGGAAAGGGUUAUAAAAGUAUCUCCCAAAGCCUUGCUGUUCAUCAGUCCACAGUAAGACAAAUUGCAUAUAAAUAGAGAAAGUUCAGCACUGCUACU